rnacentral:rRNA from 1 species
AUGAACGCUGGCGGCGUGCCUAAUACAUGCAAGUCGAGCGAACAGACGAGGAGCUUGCUCCUCUGACGUUAGCGGCGGACGGGUGAGUAACACGUGGAUAACCUACCUAUAAGACUGGGAUAACUUCGGGAAACCGGAGCUAAUACCGGAUAAUAUAUUGAACCGCAUGGUUCAAUAGUGAAAGACGGUUUUGCUGUCACUUAUAGAUGGAUCCGCGCCGCAUUAGCUAGUUGGUAAGGUAACGGCUUACCAAGGCAACGAUGCGUAGCCGACCUGAGAGGGUGAUCGGCCACACUGGAACUGAGACACGGUCCAGACUCCUACGGGAGGCAGCAGUAGGGAAUCUUCCGCAAUGGGUGAAAGCUUGACGGAGCAACGCCGCGUGAGUGAUGAAGGUCUUCGGAUCGUAAAACUCUGUUAUUAGGGAAGAACAAAUGUGUAAGUAACUAUGCACGUCUUGACGGUACCUAAUCAGAAAGCCACGGCUAACUACGUG